rnacentral:rRNA from 1 species
GUGCCAGCAGCCGCGGUAAGACGAACCGUGCGAACGUUGUUCGGAAUCACUGGGCUUAAAGGGCGCGUAGGCGGGCCUUCAAGUCCGGGGUGAAAUCCUCCAGCCUAACUGGAGAAGAGCCUCGGAGACUGAGGGCCUCGAGGAGGGUAGGGGCAAGCGGAACUAUGGGUGGAGCGGUGAAAUGCAUUGAUAUCCAUAGGAACUCCGGUGGCGAAGGCGGCUUGCUGGACCCUUUCUGACGCUGAGGCGCGAAAGCCAGGGGAGCAAACGGGAUUAGAAACCCCCGUAGUCC